rnacentral:rRNA from 1 species
UACGGGGGGAGCAAGCGUUGUUCGGAUUUACUGGGCGUAAAGGGCGCGUAGGCGGUCACGACAAGUCAGUUGUGAAAUCUCCGGGCUUAACUCGGAACGGUCAACUGAUACUGUCGGACUAGAGUGCAGAAGGGGCAACUGGAAUUCUCGGUGUAGCGGUGAAAUGCGUAGAUAUCUGGAGGAACACCGGUGGCGAAGGCGGCAUCCUGGACCAACACUGACGCUGAGUGAGCGAAAGCCAGGGGAGCAAACGGG